rnacentral:rRNA from 1 species
GUCGGUAAAACUCGUGCCAGCCACCGCGGUUAUACGAGAGGCCCAAGUUGACAGACAGCGGCGUAAAGGGUGGUUAGGGGAUUAUCCAAACUAAAGCCGAACGCUCUCAGAACUGUUAUAAGUACCCGAGAGUAUGAAACUCAAUCACGAAAGUAGCUUUAUUUACCCUGAACCCACGAAAGCUAAGGAACAAACUGGGAUUAGAUACCCCACUAUG